GCGCCCGUAGCUCAGCCGGAUAGAGCGGUGGAUUUCUAAUCCACUGGUCGCAGGUUCGAACCCUGCCGGGCGCG
rnacentral:tRNA from 1 species